GGAAGUCUCCUGGACAGAAUGUAACCAGCACGUGAGAACUCGUGCUUUGUGGAAGUGAGUCAUGGACUUCCUCUACGUAAACAGUGCUCGCGGCUCCAUUCAUGCCGAACCGCUCACACCGGGCCCCAUCAAUGGCAAAACACGAGGCUGAGGGACUGAAACUUCUCUGUCUCCCUACCUUUGGAGUGUUCUAUGCUGUACGCUGACUUUUCCAAUCAAACUUGACCAAGUGUUGGGCUGGGAAAUCAGAAGUGCUCCUGGGAGCAAGAUUAAAUCCUCUGGGCCUGGUCAAAUCUGUGCUUGCUGUGUUUGAGAAGGAUAUCCUUGAGGUACCCAAGAGGCACUGGUGAUGUCCUGGUGACAGCCCCCGGCAGAGAGAAGGCCAGUCCUGUCUACAGAGCUGAAGCAGAGUGUGGAGCUGACAGAAUUCAUGGGAGAAUGGCUACCAAAGUUUGUCAUGGCUGGGAAAUAAUGCAAGAAGAGAAUAUCAGGCAUUGAUCUGUAUUACAUGCCAGGCACUGAGUGAAGUGUGGGCUUGAUUCUCAUCUUCUCUACCUUUUAGCAGAGGGAUAUUUCACCCCUGAGGGUCUGCCUAAGAAGUCAAUAUGGUGGUCUUUGGCUAGGAUCUCUCAGGGAAUUUUCUUUUAAAUAUUUAUCUAAUUUAUUUUUUAAAGAAUUUUUACUAUGAUAUAUAGCAUGCACAGUGAAUAUAUAUAAAUGUAUAUGGGUAUGUAUGUGUGCCUAUACUCUUUAAUAAUAGUUAUUGAACACCCCUAAAUCCACUGCUAAUACAUUGGAUCAGGGCCACCGUUCAAAUCUAGCCUGCUGCCUGUUUUUGUAAAUAAAGUUUUAUCGGAACACAGCCAUGGCCAUUUGUUUACAUAUCAUUUAUGCUGCUUUCUUGUUACAAUGGUGGAUUUGAGUAGUUGAACAGAGAGCAUAUAGCCCACAAAGCCAAAAAAAUUUACUUUCGGGCCCUUUAUAGGAAACAUUUGCCAACUGCUGCCUUAAAUACCACUUCCUGAUUCCAUUCCUUCUUCCACCUCCAGGAGGCAACCACUCCUAAACUCUGUACCAAUCUUUAUACUGAGAAAAUUAAUUGUUUAGUUUUGCCUUUUUUGAAUCUAAUAUAAACAAAAUGACGG
rnacentral:lncRNA from 1 species